ensembl:lncRNA
AUUUGGAUUCACAUUCAAUUAGUAAUCCAAAAUCCAAAAGUUACCUAUUUUUCUUUUAUCCUUCUACAGUUGCAUAUCCUCAAAGGGCACUGCUUUACCCUGACUGAGCUAGCACUAGCUCUUGCUUUUAACUUAGGGCUGCAGUUUGUCUCUACCAGCCAUCCCUGGUACCCACACUCCUAAGCAUACUUUAUUUAAGAUUUCUGUAACUUCUGGGGGUACAACAUUGUUUUUCUCAGUUUGUAUUAAAGCCAGACUUACAAUUUGCCAUCAGUUAAUCUUGUUUGACCCUUAGCUCCAGUUUUAUUGAAUUUAAUCUCUGCAUCCAUUUGUUCUAAUAAGUCUUGCCAGGGUAACGGUUUUGGAGAACCUGGCAUGUACAAGGAUUUAUGUAUUCCUACUUAUUUUCUCAGCCUAUAUUUAAUUGAUCCCAAAAGGUAAGCUUUUUCUUGUUGGGCACUAGCUCCUACUACUGUUACAAAAACCAUCUCCGGGUGGUAAGAGGCACCCGUACCCACCAGAAAAUAAACCUCUUUAUCCUUCUCCCCUAGCUGUAGUUUAAACAGUGGAUCUGCUACGGUAAACUUCCCAGGUUCCCAUCAUCCAGCUUUUGUGAUCAGAGAUGGUUCCCUCUCACUCAGCUUGAUAGGAUUUCUCCACCAGUGUCCCAUUUCCCUGCAGUUUGUGGGGCAGAGCCCUCCCUGGGCUCUUCCAGCCCCCCCCCUCCCCCCACCUCUUCCUGAAGGGACCUCUGGGUCCUAUGGCCCUGCUCUAUUGCAGCAACAGUAGCAGCUGCUGUUGUUCUUCCCAAUCUCCUCCCUAUCUCUGUUCCUCAGGCAUUCUUCCCUACCACUCAUCUCUCUUCAAUCCUGACAUCCCUGUUACACCUUGCUCAUCUCUGCCUUCCUCAGCCUUGUCUUUCCCAAACCUUUUUCACUUUCCAAACUCUCAUCGUUACAUGAACUACUAACAUCAUAUUUCAGCAUCAUCUAGCACUGGGAUUUCGGGUUUCCUAGAUCUCUGCAGAUGAAGGCUAUUCUCAUUUCCAGUGCCCCGUCCUCUCCACCCCCCCUUCACAAAUAGCACUGUUUACAGCAGCAGUCUCCGGCCCUGGCUCCCUUUCUCAUUCCAAGUUCUGCUCAUGGGGGUCCCUUCAAAACCCACGAAUCAAACACCCUCCAGUUCCCACAAACACCCAGUACUUGGUCUCAUGAUUAGAAUACUCACUUAGAAAAACUGGUCCCGCUACUUCAUAUCUCUUCCCAGUUUCUCAUUUGAUGUUCCCUCUGUCUCACCCACAACGUCUCUCCUGUGAGCCAAAAUACAACCCAGGGAGUCAUUUCUGGUAUCUUCUUAGACACCCCUUGUCCCAUAACAGCUUCUUAAUAAUACUUUCACACCACAAACAGUUAACAGUCACAAAGACAGUGACAAUAACCAGGACAGUUUAUCCUCAGGAUCCUUCCUCUCUCCACCUCCCCACAGGACCCGACCUUUCUUCUGUACUCCUUUCCCACUCUUGCACAGCUGCCCACCGAAUUGCACCUCCUUCUUCUCCAGUAAACAACAUACCCAUGAGAAACAUCAUUGCC